rnacentral:rRNA from 1 species
UUUUAAAUUUAGAGUUUGAUCCUGGCUCAGGACGAACGCUGGCGGCGUGCUUAACACAUGCAAGUCGAGCGAUGAAGCUUCCUUCGGGAAGUGGAUUAGCGGCGGACGGGUGAGUAACACGUGGGUAACCUGCCUCAAAGUGGGGGAUAGCCUUCCGAAAGGAAGAUUAAUACCGCAUAAUAUAAGAGAAUUGCAUGAUUUUCUUAUCAAAGAUUUAUUGCUUUGAGAUGGACCCGCGGCGCAUUAGCUAGUUGGUAAGGUAACGGCUUACCAAGGCAACGAUGCGUAGCCGACCUGAGAGGGUGAUCGGCCACAUUGGAACUGAGACACGGUCCAGACUCCUACGGGAGGCAGCAGUGGGGAAUAUUGCGCAAUGGGGGAAACCCUGACGCAGCAACGCCGCGUGGGUGAUGAAGGUCUUCGGAUUGUAAAGCCCUGUUUUCUAGGACGAUAAUGACGGUACUAGAGGAGGAAGCCACGGCUAACUACGUGCCAGCAGCCGCGGUAAUACGUAGGUGGCGAGCGUUGUCCGGAUUUACUGGGCGUAAAGGGUGCGUAGGCGGAUGUUUAAGUGGGAUGUGAAAUCCCCGGGCUUAACCUGGGGGCUGCAUUCCAAACUGGAUAUCUAGAGUGCAGGAGAGGAAAGCGGAAUUCCUAGUGUAGCGGUGAAAUGCGUAGAGAUUAGGAAGAACACCAGUGGCGAAGGCGGCUUUCUGGACUGUAACUGACGCUGAGGCACGAAAGCGUGGGUAGCAAACAGGAUUAGAUACCCUGGUAGUCCACGCCGUAAACGAUGGAUACUAGGUGUAGGGGGUAUCAACUCCCCCUGUGCCGCAGUUAACACAAUAAGUAUCCCGCCUGGGGAGUACGGUCGCAAGAUUAAAACUCAAAGGAAUUGACGGGGGCCCGCACAAGCAGCGGAGCAUGUGGUUUAAUUCGAAGCAACGCGAAGAACCUUACCUGGACUUGACAUCCCUUGCAUAGCCUAGAGAUAGGUGAAGCCCUUCGGGGCAAGGAGACAGGUGGUGCAUGGUUGUCGUCAGCUCGUGUCGUGAGAUGUUAGGUUAAGUCCUGCAACGAGCGCAACCCUUGUUAUUAGUUGCUACCAUUAAGUUGAGCACUCUAAUGAGACUGCCUGGGUAACCAGGAGGAAGGUGGGGAUGACGUCAAAUCAUCAUGCCCCUUAUGUCCAGGGCUACACACGUGCUACAAUGGUAGGUACAAUAAGACGCAAGACCGUGAGGUGGAGCAAAACUUAUAAAACCUAUCUCAGUUCGGAUUGUAGGCUGCAACUCGCCUACAUGAAGCUGGAGUUGCUAGUAAUCGCGAAUCAGAAUGUCGCGGUGAAUACGUUCCCGGGCCUUGUACACACCGCCCGUCACACCAUGAGAGCUGGUAACACCCGAAGUCCGUGAGGUAACCGUAAGGAGCCAGCGGCCGAAGGUGGGAUUAGUGAUUGGGGUGAAGUCGUAACAAGGUAGCCGUAGGAGAACCUGCGGCUGGAUCACCUCCUUUCUA